CCUACGGGGGGCAGCAGUGGGGAAUAUUGCACAAUGGGCGCAAGCCUGAUGCAGCCAUGCCGCGUGUGUGAAGAAGGCCUUCGGGUUGUAAAGCACUUUCAGCGGGGAGGAAGGCGGUGAGGUUAAUAACCUCAUCGAUUGACGUUACCCGCAGAAGAAGCACCGGCUAGCUCCGUGCCAGCAGCCGCGGUAAUACGGAGGGUGCAAGCGUUAAUCGGAAUUACUGGGCGUAAAGCGCACGCAGGCGGUCUGUCAAGUCGGAUGUGAAAUCCCCGGGCUCAACCUGGGAACUGCAUUCGAAACUGGCAGGCUAGAGUCUUGUAGAGGGGGGUAGAAUUCCAGGUGUAGCGGUGAAAUGCGUAGAGAUCUGGAGGAAUACCGGUGGCGAAGGCGGCCCCCUGGACAAAGACUGACGCUCAGGUGCGAAAGCGUGGGGAGCAAACAGGAUUAGAUACCCGUGUAGUC
rnacentral:rRNA from 1 species